CACCCCUGGCAGUGUGAGUUCCGAUGACCUAGUAUUGCGCCCUCUCGUGGUCAUCGUAGUUUUUUGCUCAAGUUACACAAUUGUGCAGUCACGCCAAGUUUCAGUCCAUUUUAGUGCCCAUUUUCCCAUCCUUUUGAGACCACUCUAUACCGAUAGCCUUACACCAGAAGACCACUGGUUGAUGAUUUCACUGAGUAUUCCAGACCCAUAGAAAGUUUGAGGACACUUCAUCUUUUGGAGAGCACAGUUCUUUUUACCUCAUGUGGUCCACCCACGACACAGGAAUGAGAAUAAAGCAGUCAAAGUUCACAAAUCCUGUAUUAGUCAGAGGUUAACUUGUCGGAGAGAGGGCGCCCUCGGCGCUCCAUGUUCGUC